AUAAUGGGUCAGCGACUUAUAUUCUGUAGCAAGGUUAACCGAAUAGGGGAGCCGAAGGGAAACCGAGUCUUAACUGGGCGUUAAGUUGCAGGGUAUAGACCCGAAACCCGGUGAUCUAGCCAUGGGCAGGUUGAAGGUUGGGUAACACUAACUGGAGGACCGAACCGACUAAUGUUGAAAAAUUAGCGGAUGACUUGUGGCUGGGGGUGAAAGGCCAAUCAAACCGGGAGAUAGCUGGUUCUCCCCGAAAGCUAUUUAGGUAGCGCCUCGUGAAUUCAUCUCCGGGGGUAGAGCACUGUUUCGGCAAGGGGGUCAUCCCGACUUACCAACCCGAUGCAAACUGCGAAUACCGGAGAAUGUUAUCACGGGAGACACACGGCGGGUGCUAACGUCCGUCGUGAAGAGGGAAACAACCCAGACCGCCAGCUAAGGUCCCAAAGUCAUGGUUAAGUGGGAAACGAUGUGGGAAGGCCCAGACAGCCAGGAUGUUGGCUUAGAAGCAGCCAUCAUUUAAAGAAAGCGUAAUAGCUCACUGGUCGAGUCGGCCUGCGCGGAAGAUGUAACGGGGCUAAACCAUGCACCGAAGCUGCGGCAGCGACACUGUGUGUUGUUGGGUAGGGGAGCGUUCUGUAAGCCUGCGAAGGUGUGCUGUGAGGCAUGCUGGAGGUAUCAGAAGUGCGAAUGCUGACAUAAGUAACGAUAAAGCGGGUGAAAAGCCCGCUCGCCGGAAGACCAAGGGUUCCUGUCCAACGUUAAUCGGGGCAGGGUGAGUCGACCCCUAAGGCGAGGCCGAAAGGCGUAGUCGAUGGGAAACAGGUUAAUAUUCCUGUACUUGGUGUUACUGCGAAGGGGGGACGGAGAAGGCUAUGUUGGCCGGGCGACGGUUGUCCCGGUUUAAGCGUGUAGGCUGGUUUUCCAGGCAAAUCCGGAAAAUCAAGGCUGAGGCGUGAUGACGAGGCACUACGGUGCUGAAGCAACAAAUGCCCUGCUUCCAGGAAAAGCCUCUAAGCAUCAGGUAACAUCAAAUCGUACCCCAAACCGACACAGGUGGUCAGGUAGAGAAUACCAAGGCGCUUGAGAGAACUCGGGUGAAGGAACUAGGCAAAAUGGUGCCGUAACUUCGGGAGAAGGCACGCUGAUAUGUAGGUGAAGUCCCUCGCGGAUGGAGCUGAAAUCAGUCGAAGAUACCAGCUGGCUGCAACUGUUUAUUAAAAACACAGCACUGUGCAAACACGAAAGUGGACGUAUACGGUGUGACGCCUGCCCGGUGCCGGAAGGUUAAUUGAUGGGGUCAGCGCAAGCGAAGCUCUUGAUCGAAGCCCCGGUAAACGGCGGCCGUAACUAUAACGGUCCUAAGGUAGCGAAAUUCCUUGUCGGGUAAGUUCCGACCUGCACGAAUGGCGUAAUGAUGGCCAGGCUGUCUCCACCCGAGACUCAGUGAAAUUGAACUCGCUGUGAAGAUGCAGUGUACCCGCGGCAAGACGGAAAGACCCCGUGAACCUUUACUAUAGCUUGACACUGAACAUUGAGCCUUGAUGUGUAGGAUAGGUGGGAGGCUUUGAAGUGUGGACGCCAGUCUGCAUGGAGCCGACCUUGAAAUACCACCCUUUAAUGUUUGAUGUUCUAACGUUGACCCGUAAUCCGGGUUGCGGACAGUGUCUGGUGGGUAGUUUGACUGGGGCGGUCUCCUCCUAAAGAGUAACGGAGGAGCACGAAGGUUGGCUAAUCCUGGUCGGACAUCAGGAGGUUAGUGCAAUGGCAUAAGCCAGCUUGACUGCGAGCGUGACGGCGCGAGCAGGUGCGAAAGCAGGUCAUAGUGAUCCGGUGGUUCUGAAUGGAAGGGCCAUCGCUCAACGGAUAAAAGGUACUCCGGGGAUAACAGGCUGAUACCGCCCAAGAGUUCAUAUCGACGGCGGUGUUUGGCACCUCGAUGUCGGCUCAUCACAUCCUGGGGCUGAAGUAGGUCCCAAGGGUAUGGCUGUUCGCCAUUUAAAGUGGUACGCGAGCUGGGUUUAGAACGUCGUGAGACAGUUCGGUCCCUAUCUGCCGUGGGCGCUGGAGAACUGAGGGGGGCUGCUCCUAGUACGAGAGGACCGGAGUGGACGCAUCACUGGUGUUCGGGUUGUCAUGCCAAUGGCACUGCCCGGUAGCUAAAUGCGGAAGAGAUAAGUGCUGAAAGCAUCUAAGCACGAAACUUGCC
rnacentral:rRNA from 1 species